rnacentral:rRNA from 1 species
ACUUUUUGGUUUUGUAAUUGGAAUGAGUUAAGUAUAAACCCCUUUACAAGUAUCAAUUGGAGGGCAAGUCUGGUGCCAGCAGCCGCGGUAAUUCCAGCUCCAAUAGCGUAUAUUAAAGUUGUUGCAGUUAAAAAGCUCGUAGUUGGAUUUCUGUUAAUAAUUUAUAUAAAAUAUUUUGAUGAAUAUUUAUAUAAUAUUAACAUAAUUCAUAUUACUAUAUAUUUUAGUAUAUGAAAUUUUACUUUGA